AAAUAAGUUGGCAGAAUAGUGCCACCGACUUAGACUCGGUUCAUGGGUAAUACCCACUUAUU
rnacentral:tRNA from 1 species